UGUUGUUUCUCUCUCUAGAUUUCGUAUUUACAUUAUAUUUUGGUCUCUCUCUCUUGAUUUUCUGUAUUUGGAAGAGGGAGUUGUGGAGCCCAAAACUGGUCCUCUGCUUUGCUGGCUUGAAGCUCUCCAUUGUUGGUUUUUAAUGGGGUUUGUCUGAUGAGAGAGACCAGAGUUCAGUUGCCCCAAUCAACACACCAUAAUAUUAAUAGUAACACCACUUUCUCUUUUUUCUCUUUCUCUACUGCUUCUUCUUCUCUCACUUACCUCUCUCUCUCUAUUGGUUUUUGUUUACAUUUUCACUCGCACUCCAUCGUAUCAUCAUAUUCGACAUCAUCCUCUUGUUAUUGCUGCGCAGAGAAAAGAGAUAGAAGACUAAAGGAACAAAAAACCCUUAGAGGGGAAAGUUCAUUUUGAAAUUUGCCUAAUUUCCCUUUUUAUGAGUUGACGGAUCCACAGAUCUACGCGUGUUUUUCACUUUCAGAUCUUCGUUUCCGUUCAAUUAGCUGUGGAGACUUCUAGCUUGCAUUCUGUUCUGUGGAGGAGGAUUUGGUAUAUACAACUUCAUAGUUUGCUAUAAUUUGGGUAAGAGAAGUUGGCUUUGGGAGCUCGGUAAAUGCGAAUAAUUUGGAGGGUGGUUUGGAUGAGAUGAGGGGAUGUUAUCCGGGUUAAUGAACUUUUUGAGGGCCUGCUUUCGGCCAAGGGCGGAUCGUUAUGUUCACUCGGGUUCUGAUGCAAGUGGGCGUCAAGAUGGGCUUCUAUGGUAUAAGGACUCGGGGCAACAUUUUAAUGGAGAGUUCUCGAUGGCUGUAGUUCAAGCUAAUAACUUACUGGAGGAUCAGAGCCAACUGGAAUCAGGGUGUCUGAGCUCGAAUGAGUCAGGUCCAUAUGGCACGUUUGUGGGUAUUUAUGAUGGACACGGUGGUCCAGAGACCUCGCGGUUUAUCAAUGAUCAUCUCUUCCAACAUCUAAAGAGAUUUACGGGAGAGCAUCAAUCUAUGUCGGUGGAGGUUAUAAAGAAGGCAUUUCAGGCAACAGAAGAUGGCUUCUUCUCAGUUGUCAGCAGACAGUGGCCCUUGAAACCACAGAUUGCGGCAGUUGGCUCGUGCUGUCUAGUAGGAAUCAUCUGUGGUGGAACUCUAUAUAUUGCCAACCUCGGUGAUUCCCGUGCUGUUUUAGGGAGACUUGUCAAGGCUACUGGGGAAGUACUCGCCAUUCAACUCUCGGCGGAACAUAAUGCAAGUAUUGAAUCUGUGAGACAGGAGCUGCAGUCUUUGCACCCCGAUGACUCGCACAUUGUAGUUUUGAAGCAUAAUGUGUGGCGUGUCAAGGGUCUCAUACAGGUGUCCAGAUCAAUUGGAGAUGUGUAUCUGAAAAAAGCUGAAUUCAACAGAGAACCAUUAUAUCAAAAAUUUAGACUUCGGGAGCCGUUCAAAAGACCGAUUUUGAGCGCAGACCCAGCAAUUACAGUGCACCAGCUGCUGCCUCAUGAUCAAUUCAUUAUAUUUGCAUCAGAUGGUCUUUGGGAGCACCUUACCAACCAAGAAGCAGUUGAUAUAGUCCAAACCCAUCCGCGCAGCGGAAGCGCAAGGAGAUUAGUGAAAACAGCAUUACAAGAGGCGGCUAAGAAGAGAGAAAUGAGAUACUCGGACUUGAAGAAGAUCGACCGCGGUGUCCGCCGCCAUUUCCACGACGACAUCACCGUCGUGGUGUUGUUUCUCGACUCACAUCUAGUGAGCCGCGCUAGUUCAGUCCGGAGCCCUAACGUAUCUGUUAAAGGGGGUGGCAUCACCCUGCCUCCCAACUUCCUCGCUCCUUGCACCACGCCGGCUGAGCCCGGCGCCACCUGACGUCGUCGCCCGCCUGUCCCCCUUUUGCUAAUGUUAAUUACCUGUUGUACAAUCGUCAUGUGAAUACAGACUAAUACUUGGCAUAGUUCGAAAUGCCCAAAGAGGCUGGGGAAAAAAAAGCGGUCUUGAAGGUGAAGAUCAUUAUAGCAGAGCUGUGUUUUCUGGGCCAACAUCCCUUUUUCUUACAUUUGUUGUUUCCUAUGUUAUUCAGCUUCACUUUUAAUCUAUAUUACUUUUGUAAAUCCUGGGAUCUUCAAGCUUAAUGUCCUGAUUUAGUUCUUGUUAAAGUUCCAGCUUGUGAAGAA